rnacentral:rRNA from 1 species
UACCUACGGGACGCAGCAGUAGGGAAUUUUCGUCAAUGGGCGCAAGCCUGAACGAGCAAUGCCGCGUGAACGAGGAAGGUCUUCGGAUCGUAAAGUUCUGUUGAAGGGGAAAAAGAGCGGAGAGAGGAAAUGGUCUCCGAUUGAUAUUACCCUUCGAGGAAGUCACGGCUAACUACGUGCCAGCAGCCGCGGUAAUACGUAGGUGGCAAGCGUUGUCCGGAUUUAUUGGGCGUAAAGCGAGUGCAGGCGGUUCAAUAAAUCUGAUGUGAAAGCCUUCGGCUCAACCGGAGAAUUGCAUCACAAAA